rnacentral:lncRNA from 1 species
UCUAGACAGGGAAAAUACAAAUAACCCCCGGGUGGUUAAUGCAUGCAGGCGCAUCCAGGCGCCCCAUUCCCAAACACACACAAGGCGAUCACCACCCGCUGCAUCCCACCCACCUCCGGGGAGGGAGGGACUGGGAACCUGAUCUCCGGGCUCCAGCCGAAAGCUUCCCCAUCAAUAAUGUUGAUACCAUCGGUGUGCCUCUUCCCCCACCCCCGGGGCGCCGCUGCCGCCUUUUUGCCGCUUUUUGCUGGGCGAAGGAAAACGAAACCUCCUCUACUGCCCUUACCUAGCCUCGCGUUGGGGCCAGGAGGGGCUGGGCCCCAGGGUUUUCGAAGCAGGGGUUCGGGCAGGGCGCUUAAGGGGGGUCCUCCCGUUCUAGGCUAGGGAACCCAAUCCGGGCAGACCGAACUGGAAAGAGGGGCUGGGGCCCAGGCAAGGCCUCAUUCCAGACCCGGGGUCAGAUUGGGCCUGAAUCAGUGAAUGCUGCGGGUGGAGGCGCCAGGCCCUAGAAUGGGCCUCCAAACCUCCGCUUUCCAGGAAUGGCGAUUGGACCGAGAAGCCAGCCGCAAAACCCAUGGCUGGGAACGCGAUUGUGGCCCCGAGGCCUUGGGUCCCAGCGCUCCAGUCCCGCCAACCCAGCGAGGACUCUAGACCUUGGAGAACCCGAGGGUUCAUUGAACUCCCAACUGAACUGCCCAGCGCCUCCCCCGGUGUGAUUCCUCUAGGUUCGCAAGGUCGCGACCCUGGAGCAGCUGCUGCCUGGCUUCGGGCCACCCCCAUUCCCCAUCCCAGCACGCCGAGCCUCGCCAGCUCCCUGACACCCGGGCGGCCGCAACAGCGAACCACGGAACGUGGGCCCAAGACAAUGGCCCGUAAUUGAUGUAUUGCCACCAACAAGGAAGACCAACUCUCCUCUCCCCGCCAUUCCAACCGCCCCCCUUCCUCCCAUCCCCCUCUCCUCCAUCUCCCCUCUCCCCUCACCCGGCCACAGAGGGAAAGAAAACAAACAAGAAAUUAGUGGGGGAUGCCGCGCGCAGAGCGAGGCGCCUGCCUCUACACCGUCGAGGACGCAGAAGAACGAAAAAAGUUAUCAAAGUUUGGAUUCCCCCCAAUUAAUUCGUCUCUGCUCGCCCAUUUUUAGGCGAACAGCGCGAUGCAGAUUUUGGGUGUUCUUUUCGUUCGCUUGUUUGUUGUGGUGUUUGGGGGAGGGAAAAGCACCCCCUCCUCUUCAUCUUAAUCACACACAGGGCAAGGAGUGAACACGUGUGAAGCUACUCCCGGG